GAUAAACGCUGGCGGCGUGCAUAACACAUGCAAGUCGAACGAUGAAGCUUAAAAGAUUUCUUCGGAAUGAACUUAAUUGGAUUAGUGGCGGACGGGUGAGUAACGCGUGAGUAACCUGCCUUGUACAAGGGGAUAGCCGUUGGAAACGACGAAUAAUACCCUAUGACAUCAAAUAAUCGCAUGAUAAUUUGAUCAAAGAUUUAUCGGUAUAAGAUGGACUCGCGUCUGAUUAGCUAGUUGGUAGAGUAAAAGCCUACCAAGGCAACGAUCAGUAGCCGGCUUGAGAGAGUGUACGGCCACAUUGGGACUGAGACACGGCCCAGACUCCUACGGGAGGCAGCAGUGGGGAAUUUUGCACAAUGGGGGAAACCCUGAUGCAGCGACGCCGCGUGAUUUAGAAGGCCUUCGGGUUGUAAAAAUCUUUUGUAUGGGAAGAAAAUGACAGUACCAUACGAAUAAGAACCGGCUAAUCACGUG
rnacentral:rRNA from 1 species